AGAGUUUGAUCAUGGCUCAGAUUGAACGCUGGCGGCAGGCCUAACACAUGCAAGUCGAGCGGUAGCACAGAGAGCUUGCUCUCGGGUGACGAGCGGCGGACGGGUGAGUAAUGUCUGGGAAACUGCCUGAUGGAGGGGGAUAACUACUGGAAACGGUAGCUAAUACCGCAUAACGUCGCAAGACCAAAGUGGGGGACCUUCGGGCCUCAUGCCAUCAGAUGUGCCCAGAUGGGAUUAGCUAGUAGGUGGGGUAACGGCUCACCUAGGCGACGAUCCCUAGCUGGUCUGAGAGGAUGACCAGCCACACUGGAACUGAGACACGGUCCAGACUCCUACGGGAGGCAGCAGUGGGGAAUAUUGCACAAUGGGCGCAAGCCUGAUGCAGCCAUGCCGCGUGUGUGAAGAAGGCCUUCGGGUUGUAAAGCACUUUCAGCGGGGAGGAAGGCGGUGAGGUUAAUAACCUCAUCGAUUGACGUUACCCGCAGAAGAAGCACCGGCUAACUCCGUGCCAGCAGCCGCGGUAAUACGGAGGGUGCAAGCGUUAAUCGGAAUUACUGGGCGUAAAGCGCACGCAGGCGGUCUGUCAAGUCGGAUGUGAAAUCCCCGGGCUCAACCUGGGAACUGCAUUCGAAACUGGCAGGCUAGAGUCUUGUAGAGGGGGGUAGAAUUCCAGGUGUAGCGGUGAAAUGCGUAGAGAUCUGGAGGAAUACCGGUGGCGAAGGCGGCCCCCUGGACAAAGACUGACGCUCAGGUGCGAAAGCGUGGGGAGCAAACAGGAUUAGAUACCCUGGUAGUCCACGCCGUAAACGAUGUCGAUUUGGAGGUUGUGCCCUUGAGGCGUGGCUUCCGGAGCUAACGCGUUAAAUCGACCGCCUGGGGAGUACGGCCGCAAGGUUAAAACUCAAAUGAAUUGACGGGGGCCCGCACAAGCGGUGGAGCAUGUGGUUUAAUUCGAUGCAACGCGAAGAACCUUACCUGGUCUUGACAUCCACAGAACUUUCCAGAGAUGGAUUGGUGCCUUCGGGAACUGUGAGACAGGUGCUGCAUGGCUGUCGUCAGCUCGUGUUGUGAAAUGUUGGGUUAAGUCCCGCAACGAGCGCAACCCUUAUCCUUUGUUGCCAGCGGUCCGGCCGGGAACUCAAAGGAGACUGCCAGUGAUAAACUGGAGGAAGGUGGGGAUGACGUCAAGUCAUCAUGGCCCUUACGACCAGGGCUACACACGUGCUACAAUGGCAUAUACAAAGAGAAGCGACCUCGCGAGAGCAAGCGGACCUCAUAAAGUAUGUCGUAGUCCGGAUUGGAGUCUGCAACUCGACUCCAUGAAGUCGGAAUCGCUAGUAAUCGUAGAUCAGAAUGCUACGGUGAAUACG
rnacentral:rRNA from 1 species